AUUUUGUUAAUAAGAGUGCCCUCCCUUGGAAUGAACGACGACAUGUGAACAUAAAGUUGCAUACUUUUAAUCAAGAAAACAAACUCGGGUUCAUUAAGAAUUAUUGUACUUUCAACAUGUUGAAGCAGCCUAAAGGAGGAGGGGCGACCAGCUUUCUUGUGACUGGAAUCAAAGUGGGAAUAGCUAUUGAAUUAGCGCUCUUUGGAGGAUCCUAUUUGCUCUGGCGUCAAAUGAAUUCAUCGCAAGAUUUUAGGCUUAAGAUGUACAAAAAAUAUCCAUCAGUUUUAAAUGCAUAUUAUUGGGUUGGAGAGAAAACUGGUUAUCAGACACGAGAAACAGAUUAUAAAAGGUGGGGUUUAUCGGACCAGUGAUGUUGACAGUUCUACAAACAAUUUUAUAUUUAUAUACUUAGUGUUUGGAUAAACAAAAGUAUAAAUGUGUCGUCUAUUUGUGUCUUGAUCAACGUAUGUAAUUAUGUAUCGUAUAUUUGCGUCUGGAUGAACAGAUGUAAUUAUGUAUCGACUUUAUGUGUCUAAAUGAUAUAUUUGUAUUUGGAUGGACAGAUGACGUAAGCAUAUCAUCUAUUUACGUCUGGAUCAACAGUAGACUGGAUAACCUGCUCUAAAUGACGUCAGGCUUGUUUCUACGUCACGGCACUAUUCUGACUUUAAUAUCCAGUCUAGAUCAACAGAAGAGAUAAUUAUGUAUACCGGUAGUUUGUUUGUGUCCGGAUCAGCAGAUGACGUAAUUAUGUAUCGCCUAUUUGGUUGAAUGAUGUAGAUGGAUAUGUGUAAAUAAAAAGAAUUAUAAAAUC